rnacentral:rRNA from 1 species
UAUAAAGAAAAGACGAACAGCUCAGUAACUCUUAUUUUAUUUGAUGUAUUAGGAUUCUAACUAUGUUAAAUUAUAGAUAACAAUAAUACAAUAAGAAUAAGAUCUAUCAGUUAGUUGUUAAGGUAAUGGCUUAACAAGACUAUGACGGAUAACGGUAUUACUUUGUAAUAUUCCGGAGAAGGAGCCUGAGAGAUUGCUACUAAGUCUAAGGAUUGCAGCAGGGGCGAAACUUGACCUAUGAUAUGAUAUUGAGGCAGUUAUGAGUAGUAUUUUUAAUUAUUGUAGUAUUGUAAGUAUAUACUACAAGAUAAAUCGGAGGGCAAAUCGAGUGCCAGCAGCCGCGGUAAUACUUGUUCCGAUAGUGUGUAUGAUGAUUGAUGCAGUUAAAAAGUCUGUAGUUUAUGAUUAAUAAGCAUUGUGAGGUAUAUUGUAUGGUUAGGAGAGAGAUGAAAUGUGAUAACCCUAACUGGAUGAACAGAAGCGAAAGCUAUAUACUUAAAUGUAUUAUUAGAACAAGGACGUAAGCUAGAGGAUCGAAGAUGAUUAGAUACCAUUGUAGUUCUAGCAGUAAACUAUGUUAAAUCAUAGAUACAUUUUAUAAUAUGUAUUUAUGUAAAGAAAUUAAGAUUAUAUUGACUCUGGGGAUAGUAUGAUCGCAAGAUUG